rnacentral:rRNA from 1 species
CUUAGUAGCGGCGAGUGAGCGGCAAAAGCUCAAAUUUGAAAUCUGGCUCUUUCAGAGUCCGAGUUGUAAUUUGAAGAAGGUAUCUUUGGGUCUGGCUCUUGUCUAUGUUUCUUGGAACAGAACGUCACAGAGGGUGAGAAUCCCGUGCGAUGAGAUGAUCCAGGCCUAUGUAAAGUUCCUUCGAAGAGUCGAGUUGUUUGGGAAUGCAGCUCUAAGUGGGUGGUAAAUUCCAUCUAAAGCUAAAUAUUGGCGAGAGACCGAUAGCGAACAAGUACAGUGAUGGAAAGAUGAAAAGAACUUUGAAAAGAGAGUGAAAAAGUACGUGAAAUUGUUGAAAGGGAAGGGCUUGAGAUCAGACUUGGUAUUUUGUAUGUUACUUCUUCGGGGGUGGCCUCUACAGUUUAUCGGGCCAGCAUCAGUUUGGGCGGUAGGAGAAUUGCGUUGGAAUGUGGCACGGCUUCGGUUGUGUGUUAUAGCCUUCGUCGAUACUGCCAGCCUAGACUGAGGACUGCGGUUUAUACCUAGGAUGUUGGCAUAAUGAUCUUAAGUCGCCCGUCU